rnacentral:rRNA from 1 species
CUACGGGGGGCUCCAGUGGGGAAUAUUGGACAAUGGGGGAAACCCUGAUCCAGCAAUGCCGCGUGUGUGAAGAAGGCCUGCGGGUUGUAAAGCACUUUCGGUUGGGAGGACUGCUUCUAGCACUAAUAUUGUUGGAAGUUGACGUUACCUUCAGAAGAAGCACCGGCUAACUCCGUGCCAGCAGCCGCGGUAAUACGGCGGGUGCAAGCGUUAAUCGGAAUUACGGGGCGUAAAGCGCGCGUAGGCGGCUAGAUCAGUCGGGUGUGAAAGCCCCGGGCUUAACCUGGGAACUGCAUCCGAUACUGUCUAGCUUGAGUACAGGAGAGGAGAGUGGAAUUCCACAUGUAGCGGUGAAAUGCGUAGAUAUGUGGAGGAACACCAAUGGCGAAGGCAGCUCUCUGGCCUGAUACUGACGCUGAGGUGCGAAAGCGUGGGGAGCAAACAGGAUUAGAUACCCCUGUAGUC